AUUACUCCAGAGUUGGGUGGCCUUAAAUCAAUCAAUCAGACAGUUACCUGAAGAAAAGAAGAAGACUGCUCCUUUCAGAUUAGCAAAAGCAUAAAAGGCUCAGGGAAGGAAAGACAGAAGCAGAGGGAGCUUACACCAGCGACAGUCAAACGGCCUGAAGUCCAACUUCCACCAACAGCCCUCAGAGCUUCCCUGAAAAGAGCAGAGGAAGCAACAGAAGAUGCAAAAUUAUGGAUUAAAAGGGCAGAUGGGUCUCCAAGAAAAGGGUGCAAUAAGAGGAUUAGGUCUGCAAGCAGUAAAAUCAAAGCAUGGGUAGAAUGAAUCUAAAAAGAUGGAUAAAGAGGCACCCAAAACAUUUCAGAGCAGACUGUAAUUUUGUGAAGGAAAGGAAAACAAAACACAGACCACU